AGCUCCAAUAGCGUAUAUUAAAGUUGCUGCAGUUAAAAAGCUCGUAGUUGGAUUUGUGGCGCGGCCGUCCGGCGGGGGUCCUUCUAUGGUCUCGUUUGUCCUGGUUUUCGGCCGCUCCUUUCUCGGGUAGAGCGUAAUGGCUGGCAUUAGGUUGUCGGCCGCUUCGCGCCCGUCGUUUACUGUGAAAAAAUUAGAGUGUUCAAAGCAAGCCAUCGCUCUGAAUACAUUAGCAUGGAAUAACACCAUAGGACUCUGGUCCUAUUUUGUUGGUUUUCGGGAUUGGAGUAAUGAUUAAUAGGGACAGUCGGGGGCAUCCGUAUUUCAUUGUCAGAGGUGAAAUUCUUGGAUUUAUGAAAGACGAACUUCUGCGAAAGCAUUUGCCAAGGAUGUUUUCAUUGAU
rnacentral:rRNA from 1 species